UUUUGUGGGUAUUAUUAACUAUAAGCAGGGCUAAGCAUUAGCCAAGCAGGGCUAAGCCUGGUCAGUACCUGGAUGGGAGACCUCCUGGGAAAUCUAGGUUGCUGCUGGAA
rnacentral:rRNA from 1 species